rnacentral:lncRNA from 1 species
GAAUAGGAAUAAUACUCCAGCCAUUUUAAAUUAUUAUCACAAUAGUAAAAACUCGUAAAGAUUCACCACAUAAAUAUAGUGUUAGAACCAACUACGAUAUUUAAUUUUUAUUUAAAAUAAAGUAUUUUGGAUAUAUUAUAUUGUUCGUUCAAGUUAAAAAUGUUUGAGUUAGCAACCUAGAAAGGUUUUUUUAACGGUCGAGUCGGAAUGCUAGAUGACUGUGUGAACGG